rnacentral:rRNA from 1 species
UACAGAGGUGGCAAGCGUUGUUCGGAAUUACUGGGCGUAAAGGGCGCGUAGGCGGCCUCCUAAGUCAGACGUGAAAUCCCCCGGCUUAACCUGGGAACUGCGUCUGAUACUGGGAGGCUAGAGUGCGGGAGAGGGAUGCGGAAUUCCAGGUGUAGCGGUGAAAUGCGUAGAUAUCUGGAGGAACACCGGUGGCGAAGGCGGCAUCCUGGACCGACACUGACGCUGAGGCGCGAAAGCUAGGGUAGCAAACGGG